GUAGGUCCACCUUUGUGUGACCAGGGCCAGAGAAGCCUCCCUUGGCUGCAGGGAACCCCAGUGAAAGACCAGGUCACGGCCCCAUCCCACCCCUCCUCAUAUCACAGGACCUAUCCAGGAGAUAAGGAGCCCUAGUGGUGAAACGGUUAAGCGCUAGGCUGAUAACCAAAAUGUCGUCUGUUCAAACCGACCAGUUGCUUAGCGAGACAGAAGACCUGGAGAUCUGCUUCCAUAAUGAUUUCAGCCUAGGAAACCCUGUGUAGCAGUUCUACUCUGUCGUGUAGUCAUUAUGAGUUGGAAUUGACUCUAUGGCACACACACCAGGAGAUACAGCGAGCAGGGCUCAAAACAAUGCCCGAAAAGCUUGUGCUUUAUGGCAGUGUUGCUUCACAAAUGCCAAACAUCCCUUCUUGUUGGCCUCUUCCUCCGUCCUUUCUUCAUUUAAAAAUGACAAGGUAGGCUCCAGAGCCCUUCAGACUUCCCAAAUGUUCCGAUUAGGGUUCACUGCACAGGGGUACUAGGGAAAAUAUUUUCCCUUUUUUUCCUGAGUUUUUGCUUGAGUGGGAAUCGACUCAAUGGCAACAAGUUUGGUUUUUUUCUGUCUUAUAAGUAUAUGUGUACAUGCAUGUUUAUCUAUUGCUAAACUAUGCCUGUAAGACUUUGUCUCAGAAUUCCAUGUUAACAGAUACCCAUUCUUUUGGUCACAGGUGUAGAUACAUAGGUCUUCUUGGGUAGGAUUUUUUAGCUUUUACGGGAAAUCCACUCAUGGCUUGACUCAAGAUAAAUAUCUUGAUUUCUCCCUUUUCAUUGCCUCAUUGGCUUUUCUGGACUUACAGGCUACCUCAUACAGGUCAAGGACUCAGGAGUUUACCCCAAGGAAGAGAGUAGGCCAUUUUGGCGUCAGAAAUAAUUAACAGUGGCAGGUCAGAAGGAGCCUGGUGGCAUGCUUGGCUGCUAACUGAAAUGUCGGCAGUUCAAACCCACCAGCUGCUCCGUGGCUGAAAGAUGUAGGCAGUCUGCUUCUGUAAUGAUUACAACCUUGGAAACCCUAUCGGUCAGUCCUACUCUGUCCUAUAGGAUCACUGAGUUGGAAUCUACUGGAUGGCAAUGGGUUUUCUGUUCGGGGUUUUUGUUGUUGUUGUUGUUGUUUUGUGGCAGGUAAGAAGAUAGUGAGGUUGAUGUCUUGGCUGACCUUCGUGGGACCCAGGUAGUUACUGCCCAGUUGGUGCCCCAGAUUGGAGAUCCACUGGUCAGAGGGAAUCCACAAUGGUGCCACAUAGGCAGGUAACCACCGAGAGUAUCAUUUUUUCGGUCUCUACUGUAAAGCUCAAGUGCUACGGCUCUUAACCAAGAGGUCGGCAGUUCAAAUCCGCCAGGCGCUCCUUGGAAACUCUACGGGGCAGUUCUACUCUGUCCGAUAGGGUUGCAAUGAGUUGGAACUGACUCAACGGCAGUGGGUUUGUUUUUUUUGUUUUUUUUUGGUUUGGUUUACUGUAAAGCUCUACGUGAAGGACUGGCUGCCUUAAACACUCACAGCUCUCUGCAUACGUACACACACAUACAGUAUUGUUUUGUUUUCAACUGCCACGGAUGUGCCACUGUGGAUAAAGCCUCAUCCCAUUCAAAGAAAACAUCCAUUACCAUUGUUCUAGAACUACUACCAAGCCUGUUCCUCUCCCUUCCACCCCUUGUACCAAUCCUCCUUAUAGUAGGAAACAAAUUCAAUUUUUCCUUGCGUAUGGCUCAGCUUUCCGUGGGGUUUACAAGGCAAUCCAAACCCUAAACAAGAAUCAUGGACUUCGAUACCAACAGUGCACACUUCCAUGGGAGCAUGGCUACCUGGGAGAGCAGCUGUGUACUUCGCUGGGUAUGAAGGGUGCCUAGUUUCAGCUCCGUUGUAAUAAUCACUAGACCAGCAUUGUCACCAGAGUCUACCUUUAUGUGCAAAUGGAAACCCAUUUGUGCUUGUUCUGUAGAAACGGAGACUGUGGCCGCACUGUUGCCAUAGGAGAUUAGUAGCAAUGUCUGACUUCUGAAAGAAUGCGUGUUACCGGGUCAGCGGAACCUGGAAACAGAGCCAGGAAGAAACCAGGUCUCUCUCACAUUUCAUCCGCACGAAGAGAAAUGGAUUUAACCUGUCAGUCCUGAGGAGGAGGUGUUCUAGGAUUGUUCAUUUCAGUUCUUCACCUUGCCAAACUCCAGAGAUUUUUUUUUGUCCCCGUGAGGACAUUUUCUUUGGCUUUCAGUUAGGGAAGACCACAUUUCCGGAUUCUCUGAAACAUGGCGGCCACCUGAAACAUGGCGGCCACCGAGGCUUCGUCCCUCAGUUCCCUGAGCCAGGCAGGCCUGGCAGCCUGGGGCUCCUGUGUCACCAAACCUGGCCUUGGUGCUUUCACACCCACCCGGGAGGUGGCCAGAUGAGUUCCGUGAGCCCUGUGAGCGCCCCCAUCCCACCCCUUCCUCAUAUCACAGACCUUUUCAAGCAGAUAACAGCUAGCAAGCUUUGAGACCGUGCUCAAAAAUCGUCCGCUUGAUGGCAAUGUUGCUCCACAAAUGCCAAACGCUCCUGCUCCAGCGCCUCUCCCACCGCCCUUUCUGAACCAAAAAACACUAACGACAGCCCAGGAGCCCUCCAGGCUUCCUAAGAGGGUUUACUGCAUUGGGACAUUAGGGUAAGUGUUUUCUUUUUAGAUUAUUUGCUUGGAAUAUAUAUUUAGAUACAUACGUGUUUAUAUGUGUAUAUAUACAUACGUGUAUAACUUGUAUAUACGAUUAUCAGUAAAAUUCCUUGUGUACAUAAUUGCUUAAAUACCUGUUCCCACAUCGAUUUCUUUAGACUUCUAAGUCAAUUCCAUGUUUGUUUGUUUGUUUUUAUAAUUGCUUAAAUAACUGUUCCCACAUCGAUUCGUUUAGACUUCUAAGUCAAUUCCAUGUCAACAGGUACCCAGCUUUUUGUGCACAGGUACAGAUAUACGGGUCUUCUUGAGUACUAUUUUAGCUUUCACAUGAUAUUGACCCAUGCCUUAGGUUGUGAUGAGUACCUUGAUUUCCUCUCUUAUCGUUGGCUCAUUGGCUUUUCUGAACCCAUUAAGCUACCUCCUCCAGGUGAAGGACUCAGGAGCCCAGCCCCAGAAAGAGAAUAGGCCAUUGUGGCAUCGGGAGUAAUGACCAGUGACCAUGGCAGGUCAGAAGGCACUGAGGAUGGUGCUCCGGCCACCUUCAGGGGACCCAGGUAGUAGGUAGUCCAUCACCAUUUGGUGUCCAAGUGGGGAGGUCCAUCCGGUGGAAGUACAGGCCAUGGUUCCACAGGGGCAGGUGACCUCUGUGAGGGCCACUUAUUUUACAGUCUCUGCUGUAAAACUCUGGUCUCUGCAUGAUGCAAAUGGUUAAGCCCUGGACGCUUGGCUGGAAGGUUGAUGCUUGGAACCCACACAGAGGCUCCUGCUAAGACAGGCUCGGUGACCUGCCUCCAAAAGUUCGGAGCCUUGAAAACCAUAUGCAGUAGCUGUACUCUGCACACAUGGGAUCGCCAGGAGUCGGAAUCGACUUGAUGGCAACUAACAACAUCAACAACUUUAAAAACCCUACAUGACGAUUUAGCCACAUCAUACACUCACGGCCUCCCACACACACUCGCAUACGUGCACACAAAUAGUCGCACGCGUAUUCCUUUAGAGAGGGAGAGAAAGUUUGGUUUUGACUUUUUCUACCACGGACAUGCCACUUUGGAUACAGCCUCAUCAAGUUCAAAUAAAACAUACGUUACCAUUGCAUUAGGACCACUUCCGUUCCUGGUCCUCUGUCUCCUUUCAUCCCUCAUCCCAACCUUCCUUAUAGUGUGAAGCAUGUUUAAUUUUUCAUUGUGUUUGCUUUCGAUGUUUAAUUCUCGUGAAGGCAAAUAAGAUUCAUGUUUGUUUUUCACCAGUUCAUCUACACCAGAAGGUAGCAUAAGCAAUAUAUUCUUCUUUGUCACUGCUUUCAUGGAAUAUACGGCCUGGCCUUUGCACAUCUGUGCAGAGAAAAUGUCCUGCUAGAUAGUUUUCAUUUCCUUUCUAAGAACUACUUAGUGGUUCCCUGUUUGAAGGUGGGUAGGGUCGGAGGUGAUUUAUCCAGGGCUUCUCCUCUGACACUCUGACACUAGGUUUAGUAUAACUUUUCUUCCUACCUUCCUUCAUUUCUUCCUUCUAUUUUUCCUCUAUCCCUUCUCCCUGUCUCUUGCCCUUUCCCCCUCUGUGUCUUUCCUCCUUUAAGAACCGCCCCCCCCCCGAGGCAGAGUAUAACCUCAUGAUAGUGUAAGUGCGUGUGCGCAUACAUGUUAUAUUGUAAAUGUCAACCCAGAGGUGAGUGGUUGGAUGAAGGAUAAUAGGGCCUCCCCCUAGAAUAAAUAACUUUAUUCCCCAAAAGAUACCGUGGUUGGUAUGUGUGAGGCCAUAAGGGAGAGACCUGGUUGCCAUACAUCAGGGAGUCAAAGGGCCUGAUGAUCUGUGGAAGGGCUGGUGUUCCAGUUGUGGUGGAGGAAACGGGCUGCUGAGUAUGUUCGUCUGUGCUCUGGCACGUUCACAAACGCAAAGUGCAGGAGGAGAGAUCUGUAGUUACACAGGUCAAAGUGAACACUGUGCUUCCCACAGAAAAGAGAUUUCCGGGCCAGGUACCUGCAGAUUUCACAGGAGCUGGUUCUGUAAGAUCCGAUUCUCUCCAACACCCUGAAUUAUGUUUGUGUAAUUUGCCAAAGAGGAACACAGUUGAAAUUCAUAUCACGAUUUAUUAAGUAACUGUUGUUUUUCCUAUAUGUCAUCUAAUAGCAUUAAAAAAAAAAAACAACCAAAUCUGUAUAUAUUUUCAGCUGAGUAUACAGUAAGUGUAUCGACUGGUUUGGGUGUAGAUGGACACCAGUUCACCGUCACUCUGGCGAUCCCGAAUGAAGUCAAUUAUAUUUGGGCCUCUUGGUGCGGAGGACUCAGACUAGAAAAUACGACAAGACAAAGAACUCUGAUCACCUGUAGGCUGCGGUGUUCUGGCUGAGUAUACAGUAAGUGUAUCGACUGGUUUGGGUGUAGAUGGACACCAGUUCACCGUCACUCUGGCGAUCCCGAAUGAAGUCAAUUAUAUUUGGGCCUCUUGGUGCGGAGGACUCAGACUAGAAAAUACGACAAGACAAAGAACUCUGAUCACCUGUAGGCUGCGGUGUUCUGGCUGAGUAUACAGUAAGUGUAUCGACUGGUUUGGGUGUAGAUGGACACCAGUUCACCGUCACUCUGGCGAUCCCGAAUGAAGUCAAUUAUAUUUGGGCCUCUUGGUGCGGAGGACUCAGACUAGAAAAUACGACAAGACAAAGAACUCUGAUCACCUGUAGGCUGCGGUGUUCUGGUAGCAAAGGGCGGAGUGUGAAGGCUUGUGGGACGACCGGACAAGUAUUUGUUGUCCAAUACUGCCAUCAAGUGGAUUUUGUUUCCGAAGACCAUGGACCCAACAUUAUUGCUUCCUGAUGAGGCCUGGGAUUGGAGGAAGCCAGGGUCCUACGCAUAACUAAAAGCAGGGUCCUGCAUGUCCGCAGCUCCCUGAGUCACGGGGCAAGUGAUGUCUGAGGCAGGAGGUUACCCAAGAAGCUUAGGAGGUGGGCCAGGACAACGUAGACAGCCCUGGCGCCAGUCAUAUCGGGCACGGGAAUCCAAGGUUCAGGUUGCCGCCAUGUCUGGGUGGGACUAGAGUAAGACCUUGGGAAGGUAGCACAGCACUGGGGUGUAGGCAAUUUGCCUCAUAACCCUGGCUCCAGAAGCAGAAGGUGGGUAAACCUUCCUGGGACCAGGGCCACAGGGGCCUCCCUUGGCUGCAGCAAACUCCGUGUCCCCAGCCCACCUCACCCCUCCUCAUAUCACAGGACUUGUCCAGGAGAUAGGAGACCCGGUCCUGCUCUGGUUAAGAGCUCGGCUGUUAGCCAAAACAUUAGCAGUUUGAAUCCAUCAUCCCCUCCCUGGAGUCCCUACGGGCGAGUUCUACUCUCUUCUAGGGUCGCUAUGAGUCGGAACCCACUAGAGGGCCAUAGGCUUCUCAGACUUUCCAAAACAGGAACAAAGCUGAAAUUCGUAUCGAACUGGCUUUUCAGAAAGGUAUAAGAAAGCUCCAGUUGGAAUGGUCCUUGCGGGCAGUCGGGGGCUAGGUGGCUGGAACUCCGUAAAGGAACGCAGACCCUUGCUGGAGGUCUCAGUUAAGCUGGAGUGCUAAGGAUGCAGAUAUGGUUGGUUUUAGGUCUGUUCACCCACAAGACGCCUGGGUGGGGAGGAAUUCCUUCUAGUCUAGAAAAAAAGGUGAUCUUACACCCCCUUUCAGAGGCAAGGGCUUACAAGACUGAGUCCGAGACAGUGGAGCUGGAGCCCCAAAAGUGGACCUGACGGUGAGGCACCACACUUUAGGGAAGCUGGAUAGUGGUUAAUGUUUUUUUGUUUGUUUGUUUGUUUGUUUUUUCCAGUACCGAAGGGCUGAGGUGGAUGCGUUGGGGCGGG